UACAAUAAGAGUAUGCAUUUUCCUUCCCUCUUCAAGGGCUGAAAUACCCCCUAUUGCUCCUAGCACACUUGUAAAUGUGUAGAAGUCCACAAUAAUGCCAGCCUGCCUCAUUUCAAAGAAACCAUGGAGAGCAUCCUUACCAUAUCCUAAAUUGGAUAAACCAGAAAUGAUUGCAUUCCAUGAUAUGUGGUCUUGUGAUGUAACACCUGACCGUAACUUCUUAAAAUCCUCAACAUUGUUGCUACACUUUGAGUACACGGUGAGAAGAGUUGCUGCUAUAUACACAUUCGACUCGAAACCAUGUC
rnacentral:misc_RNA from 1 species